rnacentral:rRNA from 1 species
GAUGAACGCUAGCGGCAGGCCUAAUACAUGCAAGUCGAGGGGCAGCGCGGUAGCAAUACUGGCGGCGACCGGCGCACGGGUGCGUAACACGUAUGCAACCUACCUUCAACUGGAGGAUAGCCCGGGGAAACUCGGAUUAAUACUCCAUAACACAGGGAUCCCGCAUGGGAAUAUUGUUAAAGCUACGGCGGUUGAAGAUGGGCAUGCGUUCGAUUAGCUAGUUGGUGUAGGUAACGGCUCACCAAGGCUACGAUCGAUAGGGGGUCUGAGAGGAUGAUCCCCACACUGGUACUGAGAUACGGACCAGACUCCUACGGGAGGCAGCAGUA